rnacentral:lncRNA from 1 species
UUCUUUUGUAUCAAGAGAUACUAAUAUUUUCACCCGUACUAUCCAUCCACCCACGACUAAGCUAGUACCUUGAGAUACCAGGCAACCCUGACCAUUCGAUCUAUCAUCACCAAUAGUCAUGAGUUUAGUACCAACUUAAUUGUGAGGUGGGUAGCACGGAUGGGGAUUUUAUUAUCUCAUGGUACUAGUAUCUUGCGGUACAAAAGGAUAGAUCGGAGCAGAGCUCGAUUAGUAUAGGGAGCAGCAGAAUCACUACCUAUACAUGAGAGGCUCAACCAUCUCAUAAACAAUGUUUUCUGCUGUCUCAUGCUUCAAUUACACACCAUUAUUAUUGCAACUACUCACAUUCUUCUGAGCCAUUUGCUUUAAAUUUCUGCUCCCCCCUUUGGCCACUUUAUGCCAAGAUAUAUGCAUAGUUGCCUGAUCAACAUGAUUGAUGCCCUUUUGAUGCAUCUUUCUGUGUGCAAUGCAAGUUGCUUUCUCACUCCACUAUUGCUACUAAUUUACAUAGGCCUUGUGAGUUGUUUAAUGGAUCUAACUAUCACAAGGCUCAAUAAAAUAGCAUGCUCACUAAUCACAAGGGCACAAAACCUUGUCCUAGAUUCCAAUUAUUGGUAAGCUCUAGGCAAGCAAAGCAAGUGAGACAGUUGGGACAGCUUGUUGGAGCACGCCUACUUGUGAUCUUUUUGGUGGGAAGAGAAACUUCUGCUGCUUUAAACUACUUUGCUACCAUGCCACUAGCUAGUAGGCCGUUUAUUAUUCAUCAUCAGUUCAGCUUCAUCAGCCAUAAAUUAAAAAAAACAUAAAAUUAACACAUCUUGUGCCUGCAUGAGAAAUGAUCUCAUGUUCCAAAAGAUAUUAGUAGAUAGGUGCGCCUUGCUAGCUAGUAGUAGAUGAGUGAAUCUUGCAGUGUGCACAAGAUCAACCUGCUCUACAUAUAUUUGACUUGACUAUGCACACACAUUGCCUGAACUCUGAACUUUGCAAAUUGUUUUUUCAGUUCAGAACUUCAGAUAGGCAUGGUAGAGAUUAUUAUACGAGAUGACAUAUAUUGUGCUGAUUUCUCUCGCUGGGCAGAUUUGCCUACCCAUUAGUUUUAUUUUAUCCCCUGCAUAAUCUAGUGACAGAAGCGCAAUCAAUCAUGGGAGCUCUAAGCUUAUUACAUGUGGAUCUCAUCUCCUCAAAACGAGCACAAGAAACCGGGCUGUUUGGAGAACAUUCGUUGGCAACGGAGAGCGGGUGCAUGCACGCGAUCGACGUGUAGAUCCUUUGCUUGAUUCGGGCCCCAACGAACAGCAGAAUUUCUGUGGAGAUCGAUCGCCUCCCUCCCUCCCGACACCUCCGAUCUCGAGGCGAAUUCUUUAUCAUCGCUGAUCGGAACAAGGCGCCCGGCCGGCGACGACGUCAUGCUGCAUCGAAUCGAACCCUCAAAAUUCAUCUCGAAGCGAAUUAACAACGAUGAAUUAUUGCUACUGUUCGAGAGAGAGAUCGGCAAAAGCAUGAUUGAUUAUGCUGGUGGUGACGAACAUGGGGGGAGCUAGCGUCGGGGAGACAGAGGUGGUGGGGGGUGGCAGCAACGGGUCGCGGAGACAGCCAUGUGAUCGGCCGGGUGGAAGCUUGUUGGUUUCUCUCUCUUUCAAUUCCCGCCGCGCCGAGCUUGUUGGAGAUGAGACGGACGGACGGACGGACGGGGUGCGCGCGGCGCAUGCGGUGGUGGAUGAUUCUGCUGUGCUGCUGCUGCUGCUGCAAGCAGAGUUGAUGGGGGUGUGGGUGGGUGGAGAGAGUGAGGGUGUGUGUGUGUGCGUGUCGCGGCUUUUAGGGACAGCGGGAUCCCGGCGUGAUGCGCGUGCGCGGCA